AACGAACGCUGGCGGCAUGCCUAACACAUGCAAGUCGAACGAGACCUUCGGGUCUAGUGGCGCACGGGUGCGUAACGCGUGGGAACCUGCCCUUAGGUUCGGAAUAACUCCCCGAAAGGGGUGCUAAUACCGGAUAAUGUCUUCGGACCAAAGAUUUAUCGCCUUUGGAUGGGCCCGCGUUGGAUUAGCUAGUUGGUAGGGUAAAAGCCUACCAAGGCGACGAUCCAUAGCUGGUCUGAGAGGAUGAUCAGCCACACUGGGACUGAGACACGGCCCAGACUCCUACGGGAGGCAGCAGUGGGGAAUAUUGGACAAUGGGCGAAAGCCUGAUCCAGCAAGGCCGCGUGAGUGAUGAAGGCCUUAGGGUGGUAAAGCUCUUUUACCCGGGAUGAUAAUGACAGUACCGGGAGAAUAAGCUCCGGCUAACUCCGU
rnacentral:rRNA from 1 species